rnacentral:rRNA from 1 species
GGUUAAGCGACUAAGCGUACACGGUGGAUGCCCUGGCAGUCAGAGGCGAUGAAGGACGUGCUAAUCUGCGAUAAGCGUCGGUAAGGUGAUAUGAACCGUUAUAACCGGCGAUUUCCGAAUGGGGAAACCCAGUGUGUUUCGACACACUAUCAUUAACUGAAUCCAUAGGUUAAUGAGGCGAACCGGGGGAACUGAAACAUCUAAGUACCCCGAGGAAAAGAAAUCAACCGAGAUUCCCCCAGUAGCGGCGAGCGAACGGGGAGCAGCCCAGAGCCUGAAUCAGUGUGUGUGUUAGUGGAAGCGUCUGGAAAGGCGCGCGAUACAGGGUGACAGCCCCGUACACAAAAAUGCACAUGCUGUGAGCUCGAUGAGUAGGGCGGGACACGUGGUAUCCUGUCUGAAUAUGGGGGGACCAUCCUCCAAGGCUAAAUACUCCUGACUGACCGAUAGUGAACCAGUACCGUGAGGGAAAGGCGAAAAGAACCCCGGCGAGGGGAGUGAAAAAGAACCUGAAACCGUGUACGUACAAGCAGUGGGAGCACGCUUAGGCGUGUGACUGCGUACCUUUUGUAUAAUGGGUCAGCGACUUAUAUUCUGUAGCAAGGUUAACCGAAUAGGGGAGCCGAAGGGAAACCGAGUCUUAACUGGGCGUUAAGUUGCAGGGUAUAGACCCGAAACCCGGUGAUCUAGCCAUGGGCAGGUUGAAGGUUGGGUAACACUAACUGGAGGACCGAACCGACUAAUGUUGAAAAAUUAGCGGAUGACUUGUGGCUGGGGGUGAAAGGCCAAUCAAACCGGGAGAUAGCUGGUUCUCCCCGAAAGCUAUUUAGGUAGCGCCUCGUGAAUUCAUCUCCGGGGGUAGAGCACUGUUUCGGCAAGGGGGUCAUCCCGACUUACCAACCCGAUGCAAACUGCGAAUACCGGAGAAUGUUAUCACGGGAGACACACGGCGGGUGCUAACGUCCGUCGUGAAGAGGGAAACAACCCAGACCGCCAGCUAAGGUCCCAAAGUCAUGGUUAAGUGGGAAACGAUGUGGGAAGGCCCAGACAGCCAGGAUGUUGGCUUAGAAGCAGCCAUCAUUUAAAGAAAGCGUAAUAGCUCACUGGUCGAGUCGGCCUGCGCGGAAGAUGUAACGGGGCUAAACCAUGCACCGAAGCUGCGGCAGCGACGCUUAUGCGUUGUUGGGUAGGGGAGCGUUCUGUAAGCCUGCGAAGGUGUGCUGUGAGGCAUGCUGGAGGUAUCAGAAGUGCGAAUGCUGACAUAAGUAACGAUAAAGCGGGUGAAAAGCCCGCUCGCCGGAAGACCAAGGGUUCCUGUCCAACGUUAAUCGGGGCAGGGUGAGUCGACCCCUAAGGCGAGGCCGAAAGGCGUAGUCGAUGGGAAACAGGUUAAUAUUCCUGUACUUGGUGUUACUGCGAAGGGGGGACGGAGAAGGCUAUGUUGGCCGGGCGACGGUUGUCCCGGUUUAAGCGUGUAGGCUGGUUUUCCAGGCAAAUCCGGAAAAUCAAGGCUGAGGCGUGAUGACGAGGCACUACGGUGCUGAAGCAACAAAUGCCCUGCUUCCAGGAAAAGCCUCUAAGCAUCAGGUAACAUCAAAUCGUACCCCAAACCGACACAGGUGGUCAGGUAGAGAAUACCAAGGCGCUUGAGAGAACUCGGGUGAAGGAACUAGGCAAAAUGGUGCCGUAACUUCGGGAGAAGGCACGCUGAUAUGUAGGUGAAGCGACUUGCUCGUGGAGCUGAAAUCAGUCGAAGAUACCAGCUGGCUGCAACUGUUUAUUAAAAACACAGCACUGUGCAAACACGAAAGUGGACGUAUACGGUGUGACGCCUGCCCGGUGCCGGAAGGUUAAUUGAUGGGGU